AACUUUCAACAACGGAUCUCUUGGUUCUGGCAUCGAUGAAGAACGCAGCGAAAUGCGAUAAGUAAUGUGAAUUGCAGAAUUCAGUGAAUCAUCGAAUCUUUGAACGCACAUUGCGCCCCUUGGUAUUCCGGGGGGCACACCUGUUCGAGCGUCA
rnacentral:rRNA from 1 species